UCUAUAUUGAGAUUAACAACCAGCCGCAUGAUUAAACACAAAAACCGAUCACAAUAAUUAAGUAAAUUAAUAGCAAUGAACAUAUUGGGCCAUAGGGGGUGUAGAAAGAAGGGAGGUGUAAUGGAUAUGCAUGCUUGGUGUUCGGGGCCAAAAGCCGAAUUUCUGAGUCUUGUCCCCGGGUCUGAAUAUUUCAUAGGAAACUCCAAGAACCUGCAUAAAAAAGAAUCGCGAAUCCACGACGCAUGCACGCUCACGCCAAGGACCUUCUCUAUGCGCCGGAAAAAUGUGUGGAGUUCGAUGUCGGUGACGUACUAGGGAGACGCGAACACGAAAUUGAAGGCGACGAGGUUGAUCCGGGGCGAGAGGAUUUAUCGAUUCACAGCUUCCGGUUGGUCGAUUCUGAAGCGUUGCGUGGCGUUGCAAUGAAAAUUAAAAGGCAUUGAAUUCUUAGUUUGAAUAGUGGAUUCUGAAUGUUUCGCCGAAUCCCGAUCGAUGAAGGCGAAGAUAUUUCCCCGAAACGCCGUUUUCACGUUGUCGUUUUGAGCUUGUGCGUGAUGUUUAGGGGUUCGUCGUUUCACGUUAUGUUUCGGUGUUGUAGCUGGCGUUUUGUUGCUGCAUUUUCCGUUGUCGUUUUGUGAGUGUUGUUGUUUCCGCUUUUGGCUUGGACGGUAGCGGCUUAUGUAAGAUACAGCUUGUAGUAGCUUUUACUUUUACUGCUUUUCCUGCAACAUCAUGUCCUGCUGUACUGAUAAAUGGGACAGUUAAAAUGUAUUUUAAAACUGGAUAUAAUAUGUGGAGAUGGACUUUGGAUUUAUGGAUGAGAUUGUUUAUUGAUAA